GACUUAAUACUUUAAAAUAAAAGACCUGAUUUGCAUUCAGGAAAUAGGCUUUAAAAGCUUUUAGGUCA
rnacentral:tRNA from 1 species